rnacentral:rRNA from 1 species
CCUACGGGUGGCUGCAGUAAGGAAUAUUGGACAAUGCCCGCAAGGGUGAUCCAGCCAUGCCGCGUGCAGGAAGAAGGCGCUAUGCGUCGUAAACUGCUUUUAUACAAGAGAAAACCCUUCUACGUGUAGAGGGCUGAUAGUAUUGUAGGAAUAAGCAUCGGCUAACUUCGUGCCAGCAGCCGCGGUAAGACGAAGGAUGCAAGCGUUAUCCGGAUUCAUUGGGUUUAAAGGGAGCGUAGGCGGCCUUAUAAGUCAGUGGUGAAAUCUCUCGGCUU